UUUCCAGAUUUUCUUCUCUUCAUCCCCUCUUUCCAUUUCUCCAACCAAAAUCAUGAAAUUUAGCCAUUUAAUCGCCCAAAAACCCUAGAACCCGAAGCUAAAAUUGGGGCUUUUGUGAUUUCCUCUUUCCAAGCUGAAAUCAAGGUAUUUUCCAUCCUAAUCUAGCCUCUAUUCCUUCGAUCUAUACAUCUUUCUUACCAAAUUCGAGUUUUCGAUUUCCAUUUUUGAUUUUUGGUGCAUGAACCCGAUUUCUCCUUAAACCAUGAAGCUAGGCUACGGGUUUGGCAAGGAUUUUUGGUGAAGAAGGCCAAGGAGAAGGAUUAGGACGUGAUUUUUGAAGAGGAAAGGGAAACACCAUCGUUAAGGAAGCUUAAGCGGGAAGCAUCAGAGUGUGGAAUAAGCCGACAUAUUCCAGGUUACAACGAGGUCAUCCCAGACGAUUUGGAUUAGAAGUGGGUCGUUGGCCGAGUCCGUGUGUUGCUGUUCCUGUUGCUUGAAGUUCUUCCCAUUUGGUACUCUAUCGAUUUACUAGCUUCUCUUUCUAUGUUGAACUCUGUGAGGUCCGCCUACCUGGGAGCGCGCCUCACCCCUGGUUUUAUUGUUAUUGUUGGACUCCUUUCAUUUCUGUUAUGAUGUAAGCCCUAAGGCGCCACAGUGCACUUGACCACUUUGUUUUAAGUAUUUCCAGACUUGUUGAUUUGAAUGUUGGGUUGUUGACUUA
rnacentral:lncRNA from 1 species